GAUGAACGCUGGCGGCGUGCUUAACACAUGCAAGUCGAACGAUGAAGCCCAGCUUGCUGGGUGGAUUAGUGGCGAACGGGUGAGUAACACGUGAGUAACCUGCCCUUGACUCUAGGAUAAGCCCGGGAAACUGGGUCUAAUACUGGAUAGGAACGUCUACCGCAUGGUGGGUGUUGGAAAGAAUUUCGGUCAUGGAUGGACUCGCGGCCUAUCAGCUUGUUGGUGAGGUAAUGGCUCACCAAGGCGACGACGGGUAGCCGGCCUGAGAGGGUGACCGGCCACACUGGGACUGAGACACGGCCCAGACUCCUACGGGAGGCAGCAGUGGGGAAUAUUGCACAAUGGGCGAAAGCCUGAUGCAGCGACGCCGCGUGAGGGAUGACGGCCUUCGGGUUGUAAACCUCUUUCAGUAGGGAAGAAGCGAAAGUGACGGUACCUGCAGAAGAAGCACCGGCUAACUAC
rnacentral:rRNA from 1 species